UUGGACCGGUUGGACUGGGAAUUGAGUGGAGUAUCGAUUAUAAAUCGAAUUAAAUUUUACAAUUCGAAUAUACGAUUGGUGUAAAUACAAUGUUUCUAAAUACCAAAUUAAAUCAUUAUUAACUUUACAUCUAAAAAAAUUAUAAAAAGAAACUAAAGGAUAUAUAAAAAAAACUUAAAAAAUAUUUAAAAAACCCCCUAAACUCUACACAAAAUUAAACUUUAAACCCUAAAAUUCACAAAACUCUAACCC
rnacentral:lncRNA from 1 species